AGACUUAUAUCGGGUCUCGGGUUUUAUAGACUGCUCGCCUUAUUUUCUUGAUCGUUUUUGUGCAUUAAAGGAUGGAGAAUUUGCAGUGGAAUGUGGAAGAAAAUUUAAUAUCUCCAGACCUUUUGACGUUUAUGAAAAUUGUUUUGAUUCAGUUAAUCCAGAUGGAAAACGUUGGGAAAAUGCGGAAAAACUCGAAAGACUGUGUAAACUUGAUCACGAUGUAUAUAAUGCUGUCAAACAAUGUUACCAAACAGCAGCAUACAUUGACUUGAAACAAACUAAAACAGUAUUUAAAAUAACCGAGGU
rnacentral:lncRNA from 1 species